rnacentral:antisense_RNA from 1 species
GGAACUGGUCGCGUCCGGACGCGCGACAGCUUCCACCCGCCUUAGGCAGUAUCAGCCGCGCCGCAGUCGGAGGAAACAGACGCGGGGCCUGAGGCUCCUGGACUUGAGGCCUGUUACCCUCUGCGAGCCUCAACUUCUCUAUGUGUAACAAAUGGCCAACUUUAUGGGAUUGUCAAGAAGCUGAAAUGAGACCCUGGCUGGAGGAUAUUUUAUGGACUAUAAAUUCCUAAACAAUUAUAAUAACUUAGUUAUUUAUCCUAUCCAUGGAUCACCUGGAAGUUUACAAUGUGAUUUAAAAUGCAUUCUAUCAUUCCACCGA